rnacentral:sRNA from 1 species
AUAAAAUCAUCAUUAUAAAAAAAGAAUUAGAUUUUUCGCAUAUGCCAUAAUUUGAAUUUUUAAAAACGAAUAUAAAUUGUUCAAUACAUAAAAAAAUAUUAUAACGGGUGAAAAAUAGAUUUAAGAAAACUUUCUACUGAGUAACAGGUCAUAAUUUGAAAUAUUUAUAUUCAAUUUCAUACAUAUUAUAUUGAAAAUUUAUAAUCUUAUAUACUACAAUAAUUAAUAACAUAUUAGAUUUUUUUAUGUGUAUGAUGUGAUUCAAUUUUUAAUACAAGGUGGAAAAUCCUAUAAUUUACGGGUUUAGAUCGAUAUUAAUACAAGAUGGUAUACUACAGGUAAAACUCUUAAAUUAACAAUCAAACUAUAAAUGUAUAAUCUUAAACACUAAACAAUAUAGAUAAUAUCAACAAAACAUAUACAACUCACAGUUUACUAUACAUUUAUAAACAAAUAAAAUAAUAUCAUAUAUUUUUAAAUCAUCUUUACAGUAAAAGUUUUUAGUUUAACUAAAAUAUAAGCGUACAUGCGGUAUACUGCAGGUUAAUAUCUAGAUUAUAGGGCUUAUUGGAUCUAAAAACGGGUCAUCAAAGAUUUCCUAAACUGAAGCAAAAUAUACUGAAUAUUCGAAUAUCUAUCUGUUACCAAAUUAUAAACAAAUAAGUUCGUAAAACAAUUUAAUAAUUUUAUAUACGAAAUCAAUUAAAUCUUAAUCACAUAAAAAUUAGCA